GAUCAUGGCUCAGGAUGAACGCUAGCUACAGGCUUAACACACGCAAGUCGAGGGGCAGCAUUUUAGUUUGCUUGCAAACUAAAGAUGGCGACCGGCGCACGGGUGAGUAACACGUAUCCAACCUGCCGAUAACUCGGGGAUAGCCUUUCGAAAGAAAGAUUAAUAUCCGAUGGUAUAUUAAAACCGCAUGGUUUUACUAUUAAAGAAUUUCGGUUAUCGAUGGGGAUGCGUUCCAUUAGUUUGUUGGCGGGGUAACGGCCC
rnacentral:rRNA from 1 species